GAUGAACGCUGGCGGCGUGCCUAAUACAUGCAAGUCGAGCGAACAGACGAGGAGCUUGCUCCUUCGACGUUAGCGGCGGACGGGUGAGUAACACGUAGGUAACCUACCUAUAAGACUGGGAUAACUUCGGGAAACCGGAGCUAAUACCGGAUAAUAUUUCGAACCGCAUGGUUCGAUAGUGAAAGAUGGCUUUGCUAUCACUUAUAGAUGGACCUGCGCCGUAUUAGCUAGUUGGUAAGGUAACGGCUUACCAAGGCAAUGAUACGUAGCCGACCUGAGAGGGUGAUCGGCCACACUGGAACUGAGACACGGUCCAGACUCCUACGGGAGGCAGCAGUAGGGAAUCUUCCGCAAUGGGCGAAAGCCUGACGGAGCAACGCCGCGUGAGUGAUGAAGGUCUUCGGAUCGUAAAACUCUGUUAUUAGGGAAGAACAAACGUGUAAGUAACUGUGCACGUCUUGACGGUACCUAAUCAGAAAGCCACGGCUAACUACGUG
rnacentral:rRNA from 1 species